rnacentral:tRNA from 1 species
AUUUUAAGUAGUGUAAAAAACACCUAACAUUUUCGUUGUUAAAAUCUUUCUUUAAGCUUAAAUAA